rnacentral:rRNA from 1 species
AGAGUUUGAUCAUGGCUCAGAACGAACGCUGGCGGCGUGCUUAACACAUGCAAGUCGAACGCGAACGAGUUCUUCGGAACUUCAGUAGAGUGGCGCACGGGUGAGUAACGCGUAAGUAAUCUACCCUCGCAUUCGGGAUAACCCACCGAAAGGUGUGCUAAUACCGGAUACGUCUAUUUUAAUAUCUUUUUGAUAGAGAAAGGUGGCCUCUGAUUCAAGCCACUGUGCGGGGAGGAGCUUGCGUACCAUUAGCUAGUUGGUAGGGUAACGGCCUACCAAGGCGACGAUGGUUAGCGGGUCUGAGAGGAUGAUCCGCCACACUGGAACUGAAACACGGACCAGACUCCUACGGGAGGCAGCAGUGAGGAAUAUUGCGCAAUGGGGGCAACCCUGACGCAGCGACGCCGCGUGGAUGAUGGAGGCCUUCGGGUUGUAAAAUCCUGUCAGAUGGGAAGAAGUGCUGGACAUCUAAUAGGUGUUUAGUUUGACGGUACCAUCAAAGGAAGCACCGGCUAACUCCGUGCCAGCAGCCGCGGUAAUACGGAGGGUGCGAGCGUUGUUCGGAAUUACUGGGCGUAAAGCGCGCGUAGGCGGCUUUUUAAGUCAGAUGUGAAAGUCCAUGGCUCAACCAUGGAAGUGCAUUUGAAACUGGGGAGCUUGAGUACUGGAGGGGGUAGUGGAAUUCCCGGUGUAGAGGUGAAAUUCGUAGAGAUCGGGAGGAAUACCGGUGGCGAAGGCGACUACCUGGCCAGAUACUGACGCUGAGGUGCGAAAGCGUGGGGAGCAAACAGGAUUAGAUACCCUGGUAGUCCACGCCGUAAACGAUGAGAACUAGGUGUUGGGGAUGGUUAAUCGUCUCAUUGCCGGAGCUACCGCAUUAAGUUCUCCGCCUGGGGAGUACGGUCGCAAAUUAAACUCAAAGGAAUUGACGGGGGCC